rnacentral:rRNA from 1 species
AUGAACGCUGGCGGCGUGCCUAAUACAUGCAAGUCGAGCGAACAGACGAGGAGCUUGCUCCUCUGACGUUAGCGGCGGACGGGUGAGUAACACGUGGAUAACCUACCUAUAAGACUGGGAUAACUUCGGGAAACCGGAGCUAAUACCGGAUAAUAUAUUGAACCGCAUGGUUCAAUAGUGAAAGACGGUUUUGCUGUCACUUAUAGAUGGAUCCGCGCCGCAUUAGCUAGUUGGUAAGGUAACGGCUUACCAAGGCGACGAUGCGUAGCCGACCUGAGAGGGUGUUCGGCCACACUGGAACUGAGACACGGUCCAGACUCCUACGGGAGGCAGCAGUAGGGAAUCUUCCGCAAUGGGCGAAAGCCUGACGGAGCAACGCCGCGUGAGUGAUGAAGGUCUUCGGAUCGUAAAACUCUGUUAUUAGGGAAGAACAAAUGUGUAAGUAACUAUGCACGUCUUGACGGUACCUAAUCAGAAAGCCACGGCUAACUACGUG